UUGGGGUGAUAGAGCUCUCUCUGGGGUGUUGAUCCCCGAACAGGGACACAGCUCCAUGGAGGUGGUGACACAUUGCAGAGUGAUGUCCCCAUGGAGGUGGUGGCAAUGGGGUGACGUCCCCAUGGAGGGUGACAUCUCUCUGGAGGAGAGUGGUGAGACCUUCUGGAGUGAUGUCCCCAUGGAGAGUGGGGCACUGGGGUGACAGCCCCAUGGAGUACAACAGAGUCCUGCCAGGGACAGUGUCCCCAUCCGGGACAUCCCACUGGGGUGACGUCCCCAUCCACGUCAACGUUCUGAGCCGGAGCGACGUCUUCAACUGGGGUGCCAUCCUGCUCCAAGGUGACAUCCCACCUGGAAUGAGCCCACAUCCGGGGUGACAUCGGUGAAAAGUGACAUCCCAUAAAGGUGACAUCCUAC
rnacentral:lncRNA from 1 species